GGGGAUACUGGUCAGAAGUAGAGCAUGUGCUUAGCAUGCACCAGAUCCUGGGUUCAAUCCCCAGUAUCUCCA
rnacentral:tRNA from 1 species